GCCAGAGUGAUGUAGCGGUUUGGAUGUUGGACCAAGGCUCUGAAGACCAGGGUUCGAAUCUCUGCUCAGCCA